CCCGCACAAGCGGUGGAGCAUGUGGUUUAAUUCGAAGCAACGCGAAGAACCUUACCAGGUCUUGACAUCCCCUGACAACCCGAGAGAUCGGGCGUUCCCCUUCGGGGGGACAGGGUGACAGGUGGUGCAUGGUUGUCGUCAGCUCGUGUCGUGAGAUGUUGGGUUAAGUCCCGCAACGAGCGCAACCCUCGACCUUAGUUGCCAGCAUUCAGUUGGGCACUCUAAGGUGACUGCCGGCUAAAAGUCGGAGGAAGUGGGGAUGACGUCAAAUCAUCAUGCCCCUUAUGACCUGGGCUACACACGUGCUACAAUGGGCGGUACAAAGGGUCGCGAACCCGCGAGGGGGAGCCAAUCCCAAAAAGCCGCUCUCAGUUCGGAUUGCAGGCUGCAACUCGCCUGCAUGAAGCCGGAAUCGCUAGUAAUCGCGGAUCAGCAUGCCGCGGUCGAAUACGUUCCCGGGCCUU
rnacentral:rRNA from 1 species